GACGAACGCUGGCGGCGUGCUUAACACAUGCCAGUCGAACGGAAAGGCCUUUUCGGAGGUACUCGAGUGGCGAACGGGCGAGUAACACGUGGGUGAUCUGCCCUGCACUCUGGGAUAAGCCUGGGAAACUGGGUCUAAUACCGGAUAGGACCGCACUUUAGUGUGUGUGGUGGAAAGUUUUUUCGGUGUAGGAUGAGCCCGCGGCCUAUCAGCUUGUUGGUGGGGUAAUGGCCUACCAAGGCGGCGACGGGUAGCCGGACUGAGAGGUUGGUCGGCCACAUUGGGACUGAGAUACGGCCCAGACUCCUACGGGAGGCAGCAGUGGGGAAUAUUGCACAAUGGGCGCAAGCCUGAUGCAGCGACGCCGCGUGGGGGAUGACGGCCUUCGGGUUGUAAACUCCUUUCGCCAGGGACGAAGCGUUUUGUGACGGUACCUGGAGAAGAAGCACCGGCUAACUACGUG
rnacentral:rRNA from 1 species